rnacentral:rRNA from 1 species
AUGGCUCCCUCCGCCGACGUCGCCGCGCCCGCCCCGACCCCUCCGCUGGCGCCCCUCAUCGCCGCGCAGCUCAAGUUCCUCCUCACCAACUCCAGUCUCCCCAUCAAGGUGGUGCAGAUCUGGUCCGGAUGCAGCAGCGGCCGCUACGCCGAUCGCUUCACCCUCGGCAUCCCCUUCUGCCUCGACUACGUCUACUGGGAUUUCUUGUAUAAUGCGAUGCACCCCAAGGUGGCGCCGGACGUCAUAUUCGGGCAGGGCGACGAGGGGUUCCAGCCGCUGGUCGAUUAUGACGAGUCCGGGAAUGGGGGCAAGAGCUGCUUGGCACACUGGGAUUACCGCGACCCCCGUGGCCUCCUCUGCCUCGUGGAGGAGCUCCGGUUAUUAUACAUUGAGUACCAAAAGAAGCUGGUUGAGAAAGUGGAUGAUGCAAGACUGAAGUUUGAAAUAAGCACAGUUCUUGCUAAGGAGGGGAUUGAAGUCUCCGUGGUAUCAUCAACUGGUAGGUCAGAUGAGGUGAAAUUUGCUGUCCCGCUUCUGGAUUUAGACCUCAAAAUGAUGGUGCCUGGAUGUCCUUGGAAACUUCCCCAAAAGAUCCAUCUGCAGGCCAUAUUUCCGUCAUUUUUCUCUGUGGAUGGUGUUAAGCUCCCUGCAUGGGUAGAUGGGAUGUGCAUGGCUGAGUAUAUUCCCACUUUAGAAGAAGACCUUAAAUUGCAGGUCGUGGAUGCAUCAGCUUCAAUCGGUUGCAGGAGACGAUUCAUUGAGGCCCUAGCUCCUGCUUUCGGGAGACCAUUGGAGGCUGAUCCGAUUUUUUGCAGGAAAGCCACAGUUCUUUCCAUUUCGGGGAUUUUCACAUUUCUGGUUCACUUUGUCAUCCCCCUUCAAUUCCCCAAACAACAACCUAUCCUGACUUUGCAGAGUUGUCAGCACUGUAAUUCCCAAGGUAUACCUAUCACGUCAUCUCCAAAAAACAGCUAUCCAUGGAGUCCUAGAUGGGAAGUGACAGAAAUGGCGGAACGCAUCUACGACUAUCUCGCCGACGAGUGCCAGAAUUUCAAGAAGUUAUGCAGUGAUGGUUUCCCUCAAGCAAAGUAG